UGGGGAAUAUUGCACAAUGGGCGCAAGCCUGAUGCAGCCAUGCCGCGUGUAUGAAGAAGGCAUUCGGGUUGUAAAGUACUUUCAGCGGGGAGGAAGGGAGUAAAGUUAAUAACUUUGCUCAUUGACGUUACUCGCAGAAGAAGCAGCGGUUAACUCCGUGCCAGCAGCCGCGGUAAUACGGAGGGUGCAAGCGUUAAUCGGAAUUACUGGGCGUAAAGCGCACGCAGGCGGUUUGUUAAGUCAGAUGUGAAAUCCACGGGCUGAACCUGGGAAGUGCAUCUGAUACUGGCAAGCUUGAGUCUCGUAGAGGGUGGGAGAAAUACAGGUGUAGCGGUUAAAUGCGUAGAGAUCUUGAGGAAUACCGGUGGCGAAGGCGACCACCUGGACGAAGACUGACGCUCAGGUGCGAAAGCGUGGGGAGCAAACAGG
rnacentral:rRNA from 1 species